UGGGGGAUAUUGCACAAUGGGCGAAAGCCUGAUGCAGCGACGCCGCGUGGGGGAUGAAGGCCUUCGGGUUGUAAACUUCUUUUGCUCUGAACAAGGCAUGCUAAUGGGUGUGUUGAGUGUAGGGGUUGAUUAGCGCCGGCUAACUACGUGCCAGCAGCCGCGGUAAUACGUAGGGCGCGAGCGUUGUCCGGAAUUAUUGGGCGUAAAGGGCUUGUAGGUGGCUGGUUGCGUCUGUCGUGAAAGCUAAUGGCUUAACUGUGGGUUUGCGGUGGGUACGGGCUGGCUUGAGUGCAGGAGGGGAGGCUGGAAUUCCUGGUGUAGCGGUGGAAUGCGCAGAUAUCAGGAGGAAUACCGGGGGCGAAGGCGGGUCUCUGGGCUGUUACUGACACUGAGGAGCGAAAGCAUGGGGAGCGAACAGG
rnacentral:rRNA from 1 species